rnacentral:tRNA from 1 species
GGAGUUGUAGCUCAGCAGCAGAGCGCUUGCCUAGCAUGUAUGAGGCACUGGGUUCUAUUCCCAGCACCA